UACGUAGGGUGCGAGCGUUAAUCGGAAUUACUGGGCGUAAAGCGUGCGCAGGCGGUUCGUUAUGUCCGAUGUGAAAGCCCCGAGCUUAACUUGGGAAUGGCAUUGGAAACUGGCGGGCUGGAGUGCGGCAGAGGGGGGUGGAAUUCCACGUGUAGCAGUGAAAUGCGUAGAGAUGUGGAGGAACACCGAUGGCGAAGGCAGCCCCCUGGGCCAGCACUGACGCUCAUGCACGAAAGCGUGGGGAGCAAACAGG
rnacentral:rRNA from 1 species